rnacentral:rRNA from 1 species
AUGAACGCUGGCGGCGUGCUUAACACAUGCAAGUCGAACGGAAAGGCCUCUGCUUGCAGGGGUACUCGAGUGGCGAACGGGUGAGUAACACGUGGGUGAUCUGCCCUGCACUUCGGGAUAAGCCUGGGAAACUGGGUCUAAUACCGGAUAGGACAAUGGUUUGGAUGCUGUUGUGGAAAGUUUUUCGGUGUGGGAUGAGCUCGCGGCCUGUCAGCUUGUUGGUGGGGUAAUGGCCUACCAAGGCGUCGACGGGUAGCCGGCCUGAGAGGGUGUACGGCCACAUUGGGACUGAGAUACGGCCCAGACUCCUACGGGAGGCAGCAGUGGGGAAUAUUGCACAAUGGGCGCAAGCCUGAUGCAGCGACGCCGCGUGGGGGAUGACGGCCUUCGGGUUGUAAACUCCUUUCGCUAGGGACGAAGCGUUUUUGUGACGGUACCUGGAGAAGAAGCACCGGCUAACUACGUG